GGGGAAUUUUCCGCAAUGGGCGAAAGCCUGACGGAGCAAUACCGCGUGAGGGAUGACGGCCUAUGGGUUGUAAACCUCUUUUCUCAGGGAGGAAUCAAUGACGUGUACCUGAGGAAUAAGCAUCGGCUAACUC
rnacentral:rRNA from 1 species